AAUAGAUACCCUGGUAGUCCUAGCCGUAAACUAUGAGCACUGGGUUGGAGGGUCCUCCAUAGCCUUCCAGCCGCAGCGAAAGUGUUAAGUGCUCCGCCUGGGGAGUAUGGUCGCAAGGCUGAAACUCAAAGAAAUUGACGGGGGCUCACACAAGCGGUGGAGGAUGUGGCUUAAUUCGAGGCUACGCGAAGAACCUUAUCCUAGUCUUGACAUGCACGGAUUAACUCCUGGAAACAGGAGCCAGGCCUUCGGGUACAACGUGCACAGGUGCUGCAUGGCUGUCGUCAGCUCGCGCUGUGAAGUGUCGGGUUAAGUCCCUUAACGAGCGAAACCCUUGUCGCUAGUUGCCAGCGAGUAAUGUCGGGGACUCUAGCGAGACCGCCGGCGUUAAGCCGGAGGAAGGCGGGGAUGACGUCAAGUCCUCAUGGCCUUUAUGACUAGGGCUGCACACGUCCUACAAUGGCGCGCACAAAGGGAUGCAAAAUCGCGAGAUCAAGCAAAAUCCCAAAAAACCGACGCCCCAGUUCGG
rnacentral:rRNA from 1 species